CUGGCUCAGGAUGAACGCUAGCUACAGGCUUAACACAUGCAAGUCGAGGGGAACGAUAUUGAAAGCUUGCUUCUUAGGCGUCGACCGGCGAAUGGGUGAGUAACGCGUAUCCAACCUGCCCCUGAGUAAGGGAUAGCCCAUCGAAAGAUGGAUUAAUACCUUAUGGUCUCCUUUGCAGACAUCUAAUUAGGAGUAAAGAUUUAUCGCUGAGGGAUGGGGAUGCGUCUGAUUAGCUUGUUGGCGGGUAACGGCCCACCAAGGCGACGAUCAGUAGGGGUUCUGAGAGGAAGGUCCCCCACAUUGGUACUGAGACACGGACCAAACUCCUACGGGAGGCAGCAGUGAGGAAUAUUGGUCAAUGGGCGGAAGCCUGAACCAGCCAAGUAGCGUGCAAGGAUGACUGCCCUAUGGGUUGUAAACUGCUUUUAUACGGGGAUAAAGUCAGAGUCGUGACUCUGUUUGCAGGUACCGUAUGAAUAAGGACCGGCUAAUUCCGUGCCAGCAGCGGC
rnacentral:rRNA from 1 species